CCUGGCUCAGGAUGAACGCUAGCUACAGGCUUAACACAUGCAAGUCGAGGGGCAUCAGGAAGAAAGCUUGCUUUCUUUGCCGGCGACCGGCGCACGGGUGAGUAACACGUAUCCAACCUGCCCUUUACUCGGGGAUAGCCUUUCGAAAGAAAGAUUAAUACCCGAUAGUAUAAUGAUUCCGCAUGGUUUCAUUAUUAAAGGAUUCCGGUAAAGGAUGGGGAUGCGUUCCAUUAGGUUGUUGGUGAGGUAACGGCCCACCAAGCCUUCGAUGGAUAGGGGUUCUGAGAGGAAGGUCCCCCACAUUGGAACUGAGACACGGUCCAAACUCCUACGGGAGGCAGCAGUGAGGAAUAUUGGUCAAUGGGCGCUAGCCUGAACCAGCCAAGUAGCGUGAAGGAUGAAGGCUCUAUGGGUCGUAAACUUCUUUUAUAUAAGAAUAAAGUGCAGUAUGUAUACUGUUUUGUAUGUAUUAUAUGAAUAAGGAUCGGCUAACUCCGUGCCAGCAGCCGCGGUAAUACGGAGGAUCCGAGCGUUAUCCGGAUUUAUUGGGUUUAAAGGGAGCGUAGGUGGACUGGUAAGUCAGUUGUGAAAGUUUGCGGCUCAACCGUAAAAUUGCAGUUGAUACUGUCAGUCUUGAGUACAGUAGAGGUGGGCGGAAUUCGUGGUGUAGCGGUGAAAUGCUUAGAUAUCACGAAGAACUCCGAUUGCGAAGGCAGCUCACUGGACUGCAACUGACACUGAUGCUCGAAAGUGUGGGUAUCAAACAGGAUUAGAUACCCUGGUAGUCCACACAGUAAACGAUGAAUACUCGCUGUUUGCGAUAUACAGUAAGCGGCCAAGCGAAAGCAUUAAGUAUUCCACCUGGGGAGUACGCCGGCAACGGUGAAACUCAAAGGAAUUGACGGGGGCCCGCACAAGCGGAGGAACAUGUGGUUUAAUUCGAUGAUACGCGAGGAACCUUACCCGGGCUUAAAUUGCAGUGGAAUGAUGUGGAAACAUGUCAGUGAGCAAUCACCGCUGUGAAGGUGCUGCAUGGUUGUCGUCAGCUCGUGCCGUGAGGUGUCGGCUUAAGUGCCAUAACGAGCGCAACCCUUAUCUUCAGUUACUAACAGGUCAUGCUGAGGACUCUGGAGAGACUGCCGUCGUAAGAUGUGAGGAAGGUGGGGAUGACGUCAAAUCAGCACGGCCCUUACGUCCGGGGCUACACACGUGUUACAAUGGGGGGUACAGAAGGCAGCUAGCGGGUGACCGUAUGCUAAUCCCAAAAUCCUCUCUCAGUUCGGAUCGAAGUCUGCAACCCGACUUCGUGAAGCUGGAUUCGCUAGUAAUCGCGCAUCAGCCACGGCGCGGUGAAUACGUUCCCGGGCCUUGUACACACCGCCC
rnacentral:rRNA from 1 species